rnacentral:rRNA from 1 species
GAUGAACGCUGGCGGCGUGCCUAAUACAUGCAAGUAGAACGCUGAAGGAGGAGCUUGCUCUUCUGGAUGAGUUGCGAACGGGUGAGUAACGCGUAGGUAACCUGCCUGGUAGCGGGGGAUAACUAUUGGAAACGAUAGCUAAUACCGCAUGACAACAGUUAUUGCAUGAUAACUGUUUAAAAGGGGCAACUGCUCCACUACCAGAUGGACCUGCGUUGUAUUAGCUAGUUGGUGAGGUAACGGCUCACCAAGGCGACGAUACAUAGCUGACCUGAGAGGGUGAGCGGCCACACUGGGACUGAGACACGGCCCAGACUCCUACGGGAGGCAGCAGUAGGGAGUCUUCGGCAAUGGACGGAAGUCUGACCGAGCAACGCCGCGUGAGUGAAGAAGGUUUUCGGAUCGUAAAGCUCUGUUGUAAGAGAAGAACGAGUGUGAGAGUGGAAAGUUCACACUGUGACGGUAUCUUACCAGAAAGGGACGGCUAACUACGUG